UCAGAUUGCAGGCUGCAACUCGCCUGCAUGAAGUCGGAAUUGCUAGUAAUCGUGGAUCAGCAUGCCACGGUGAAUACGUUCCCGGGCCUUGUACACACCGCCCGUCACACCAUGGGAGUCGGUAACACCCGAAGCCUGUAGUCUAACCGCAAGGAGGACGCAGUCGAAGGUGGGAUUGAUGACUGGGGUGAAGUCGUAACAAGGUACC
rnacentral:rRNA from 1 species